rnacentral:rRNA from 1 species
AGAGUUUGAUCAUGGCUCAGGACGAACGCUGGCGGCGCGCCUCAUACAUGCAAGUCGAGCGAGAACCAGGGCUUGCCCUGGGGAGAGCGGCGAACGGGUGCGUAUCACGUGAGCAACCUGCCUCAGAGACCGGGAUAACCCGAGGAAACUCGAGCUAAUACCGGAUGCCCUCGGUGGAUCGCAUGGUCCGGCGAGGAAAUGGAUUCCGCUCUGAGAUGGGCUCGCGGCCUAUCAGCUUGUUGGUGGGGUAAUGGCCUACCAAGGCGACGACGGGUAGCUGGUCUGAGAGGACGAUCAGCCACACUGGGACUGAGACACGGCCCAGACUCCUACGGGAGGCAGCAGUAGGGAAUCUUGCGCAAUGGGCGAAAGCCUGACGCAGCGACGCCGCGUGCGGGAUGAAGGCCUUCGGGUCGUAAACCGCUUUCAGCAGGGACGAAAUUGACGGUACCUGCAGAAGAAGGCCCGGCCAACUACGUGCCAGCAGCCGCGGUG